UACGUAGGGGGCGAGCGUUGUCCGGAUUUAUUGGGCGUAAAGCGCGGGCAGGCGGCCCGGUAAGUCGGCCGUGAAAGCGCCUGGCUCAACUCGGCGAGGACGGGCGAGACUGCAGGGCUGGAGCAAGGCAGAGGGCGGUGGAAUUCCGGGUGUAGUGGUGGAAUGCGUAGAGCUCCGGAGGAACACCAGUGGCGAAGGCGGCCGCCUGGGCCUUUGCUGACGCUGAGCCGCGAAAGCGUGGGGAGCGAGCCGG
rnacentral:rRNA from 1 species